rnacentral:rRNA from 1 species
GAUCAUGGCUCAGGAUGAACGCUGGCGGCGUGCCUAACACAUGCAAGUCGAACGAAGCACUGAAAGUUUGAGGUUUCGGUCAAGAACUUUCUUUGACUUAGUGGCGGACGGGUGAGUAAUGCGUGAGCAACCUGCCUUUCAGAGGGGGACAACAGUUGGAAACGACUGCUAAUACCGCAUGAUACAUUCGGAUGGCAUCGUCUGAAUAUCAAAAGAUUUAUCGCUGAAAGA